AAAAUUGUAUUAGGCCUGUGCAAAAGUAAUUGCGAUUUUUGCCACUACUUUCAAUGGCAAAACCUGCAAUUACUUUUGUGCCAAUGUAAUA
rnacentral:miRNA from 10 species